AAAACCUAGUCUCAGUUCGGAUUGGAGUCUGCAACCCGACUCCAUGAAGCUGGAUUCGCUAGUAAUCGCGCAUCAGCCACGGCGCGGUGAAUACGUUCCCGGGCCUUGUACACACCGCCCGUCAAGCCAUGGAAGCCGGGAGUGCCUGAAGUGCGUGACCGCAAGGAGCGUCCUAAGGCAAUACCGGUGACUGGGGCUAAGUCGUAACAAGGUAAC
rnacentral:rRNA from 1 species